AGUAACCUGCCUUGGAGUGGGGAAUAACAGCUGGAAACAGCUGCUAAUACCGCAUGAUGCAGUUGGGUCGCAUGGCUCUGACUGCCAAAGAUUUAUCGCUCUGAGAUGGACUCGCGUCUGAUUAGCUAGUUGGCGGGGUAACGGCCCACCAAGGCGACGAUCAGUAGCCGGACUGAGAGGUUGGCCGGCCACAUUGGGACUGAGACACGGCCCAGACUCCUACGGAAGGCAGCAG
rnacentral:rRNA from 1 species